AUAGUCAAUAGUGAAUCUUUUGAGCCCAAAAAAGGAUUAGAUUGUGGUUAGAACAAGAUAUUUUAAAAGUGUUUAUUGAUAACUUUGGAACUGAUGAUGCAGUUAAAGCCAUAAAGUUGGAGUUGCCUAAUUCCACAAGACUUAGAGGUAGAUCUACGAGCUUUUA